GCUCGGCAGGAGGAGCGGGGCUUCCCACUCGUCCUGCUCCGGGCGAGCAGCAGCGGCGUGCCAUGGGCCUGGCGGUUGAUGUGGGAAAGAGAGGAGGCGAGCAGAGAGGCCGAGGCCAGUAGUCACCACUGCGUUGAGGAGCAAACAGAGAUACAGGACAAGAACGAAUCCAAAUCAGUACGGGUAUCUCUCUCCCAAUCCUUUUUCCUCCAGCAGAAACGGGCCAUGCCCGAGCAACCCCUCUCUCUCCUUCACUCUACCUUUUCUUCAUUUUUUUACCUGUUGCAUACAGUUGUUGUAUGGAUGAUUUUUUGCUGCUACAGGGAGAUGGGAAGAGAACGAAGAAAUGGUGAGGGAGGUCGAAGAGGAGCCAACAGAUGAAUAUGGAUCUGCAAUAAUCAGAAACUAAUUUGGUAGUGGAUAGAUGUUUGCAUUGGAUCUGAGGGUGCAAUGGUCCUGAAGCAUUGCCAUGUGGUGUUUGGUGCAUAUAUGCAAAAAUCAGGGGUACAAAUAUGGACUUUCGAACAAUUAUGAGAAGUGUGAUCUUAAUCCCCAACCAGGCGAUGAAAUUGGUAGAUGUUUCUGCAAGUUUUGCUUCAGCUCUAUUUGCCUCUUUGGCCCUUGCUUGAUUUGGGCUGCUUAACUGGGCAAUCGUAGUCUCCAUCUUUCUUUCAGGUUUGACUCUUUGGCCCUUGCUUGAUUCAGGUGCUCCUACAAAAUGUUUCUGCAAGUUCUGUUUCAUUGAUGUUUGCCUCAAUGAGAAUGGAUCUACUUAUCGGGAUUAACAAGCUUUGCUGAUGUAUUAGGUUGUGAUUUGGUCUGGUCCUCGAUGUACUGAUUUAGCAAAUAGCUUGACUCGGGCCAGUCACAAACUUACAAUACAGAUUGCUGCUCUUUUCCUUGACGGCCAAAUUAGACUUGUCAUUUGAUGCUAUUGUUACAAAUCGUGUAGCUACAUGCAGGUAUGAGAACCAGAAUGAGAAGACUAUGGGAGAUAUUUUCCUUACUAAUGUUUGCUAGAGUUUCUCUGAAUAUGCAAUAUUCUGAUCCAAUUUUAUCCUAUAUGCUGAACGCAUCAAGAAUGAAAGUUAAACAGAGCAUGGCACCCUUCUUUUCAGAUAAUUUAUCAUGUAGUUAUGCACGUGUUUCGCUUCAGAUGUGGUUCCCAAUCGGAUCAUCUAUUCAGGCUAUGGUCCUACCUAUAUGAAUCCUGCUGAAAAGAAUGUCUUGGGUAGACUGGUAUAUUGAAUUCUGUGUAUCUUGAUCUUGCAUGUUGGGAACUGCUCCUUGGAUUGCCUCACUCAUGGGUUCCCCUCUCUACUAUCUCGGAUCAGAAAGCAAAGUAUGGUGGCGGCUCGCGGGAUAUGAGGCGGGAACAACAAGGCUUGCGUUUUUGUUCCUCCAUACAAAAAGGUUUUAGUUCCUCAAAAACAUUUUCCAGUUUAUUUUCGUCUCUUAUGGAUGCUUCUUUUGGUUUCUCUUGUACUGUAUAUUCAGGUUUUCGUCCUAUUUUUGUAUGGUUAGCCACCUGCAAUAUUUUUGGCUCCUAUGAUGGUUCAAUUUUGUUCGUGCAGAUGAAGUUGCAAGUGUAUAAUAAGCCUUAUGUUGACAUUACCAUGUAGGAAUUCAUGCCAAUCUUAGGGUCCCUGUUUACUGUUAGUACGUCUUUCAUUUCAACAACAAAUUUUCUGUUCAGAGUGGCUUCAUAGAGUGGGAAUCCUUAAUUUGCUCUAAAAUUUCCAAAUAAAGUGGCUCUAAUUCAUAUCUACAUUUUUCUGUGAGUUCACAAUAAUAUUUGAAUCACAUUUGGUUUUUGAAAUACUAUUGCUUGAAAAUAUAUGUAGGGACAGAGCAGUUAGAGCAACUCAUGGAAACUUUAAACCUGUUUUUUUUGAACCAAUUGUCGCUGCAGAUAUCUAAAACUUGAGCUCUCAAAUUGUGAGAGCUGGUUUCGUAACUUCUAUUUUAUUUACUGAACUCAGAAUCAUAGAUUGUGAUGGACGGUUCCCUAAUUUGCAUCUUAUUUUUUGAAAGUUUUUAGAGAAUAUUUACAGUGUAGUCAAACAAACAAAUGUAUUUGAAGCUAAUUCAGAUUUCUUGAAAGCUAACACGCAAAUGUGGAUUUUGGUGUUGUUUGAGAUUCUUAGAUUCAUGUUCUGCAGGUAGGACCACAAAUAGGGAAUCUAAUCCAAGUUACUAUUGAAAUCUCAUAUUCGAUUACUAACCACAUGUUAUGGAAUUGGUUUCCUAAUUUAUUUUUGAAACAUCAUAGGGCGAAGAACGCAUCGAGGCUUAUUUUAUAUUCAUUUCAGUCUUGAUAUGCUAGAAGUCUGUAACUGCUUAAUAACUUUUUUAGCAUUCUUUUUUCAUGUUUGUAAUACUAUCUGGUGUCUGCUAAUUUACCAUGUGAUGAUUCUUUCCUCACUGAUAGUGAGCUCAUAUCAAAUCUGCUUGCAAUUUUUGGUUAUAUUGUUAUAUAUUUUUUCUCCGUAGCGAAAUGGAUAUAUAUUGUGAUAGAUGCGAGCUACAAAUAUAUCUUCUUAGCUUGGUAGUAAUCUACUUAGUUAUUUUUUCCAUUGCAUGUGUUAGAAAAUAACAUUUAAGUUUCAGUGCCCGAUUUUUCUAGCAGAUAUACUCCUGAGGCUAGAAGGUUCAAUAUGAAGGUAGAUAUGCUUUAAUCUGAGAAACAAAUUGGGGGAUUUUUACUGUAUUAUGUGUGGUGAAAUUUUGAGAUGAUCUAAUUGAUGUGAUGGUUCAUUUUCUUCUUAUCCACUCGAUUUAAUGGAUAAGUGAUGGUUCAUUUUCUUCUUAUCCACUCGCUGCAUGUUCCUUUCAUGACAUGAUAUUCUCAUCUGCAUGGUUAAAUUCGGUUUAUUCUGCAGUUUGUUUGGUCACGUGCAUGGUGCAACUUAGAUUAUUAUCACAAGGCAGCUCUGUAAUCGUUCUAACUCUAUUAUGUUAUCAGGUUAUGGCAAUGUAAGAUUUCCUAAAUGAUAAGUAUCUUCACUAGCUAGCUAGGUUAAUUCUCAUCUGAAUUGGUUUCCUAUAGGCUCCAACAUCUUGGUAGCCACCCUGCCGCAAACCAUGUUAGUUCUUUAUGGCCUGGUUAGGUUUUGCUUGAAUGUUCUUCGGACUUGCAGUUAUUUUCUGAAGCAUGAAAAUUGAGUAGAAAAUUGCAUGUUUGACACUAUGCAACAUUGGAAGGUGCUUUUCUCCCUCUUUCACGAAUGAUGGUUAGCUUGCACUCCCUGGUCCUUGCUCCUUCUUUUUAU